rnacentral:rRNA from 1 species
AUUGAACGCUGGCGGCAGGCCUAACACAUGCAAGUCGAACGGUAACAGGAAGCAGCUUGCUGCUUCGCUGACGAGUGGCGGACGGGUGAGUAAUGUCUGGGAAGCUGCCUGAUGGAGGGGGAUAACUACUGGAAACGGUAGCUAAUACCGCAUAAUGUCGCAAGACCAAAGAGGGGGACCUUCGGGCCUCUUGCCAUCGGAUGUGCCCAGAUGGGAUUAGCUUGUUGGUGGGGUAACGGCUCACCAAGGCGACGAUCCCUAGCUGGCCUGAGAGGAUGACCAGCCACACUGGAACUGAGACACGGUCCAGACUCCUACGGGAGGCAGCAGUGGGGAAUAUUGCACAAUGGGCGCAAGCCUGAUGCAGCCAUGCCGCGUGUAUGAAGAAGGCCUUCGGGUUGUAAAGUACUUUCAGCGGGGAGGAAGGGAGUAAAGUUAAUACCUUUGCUCAUUGACGUUACCCGCAGAAGAAGCACCGGCUAACUCCGUG